UACGGAGGGUGCAAGCGUUAUCCGGAAUUCACUGGGUUUAAAGGGUGCGUUAGGCGGGCAGGUAAGUCCGUGGUGAAAUCUCUGAGCUUAACUCAGAAACUGCCAUGGAUACUAUUUGUCUUGAAUAUUGUGGAGGUAAGCGGAAUAUGUCAUGUAGCGGUGAAAUGCUUAGAUAUGACAUAGAACACCAAUUGCGAAGGCAGCUUACUACACAGUUGAUUGACGCUGAGGCACGAAAGCGUGGGGAUCAAACAGG
rnacentral:rRNA from 1 species